UACCAGCUCCCCGAGUAGUGUGGAUGUUUAUUGGGCCUAAGGCAUCCGUAGCUUGCUAAGCAAGUCCCCUGUUAAAUCCACCGAUUCAAUCGGUGGAUUGCGGGGGAUACUGUUUGGCUAGGGGACGGGAGAGGCCGACGGUAUUUCCGGGGUAGGGGUGAAAUCCUAUAAUCCCGGGAGGACCACCAGUGGCGAAGGCUGUUGACUAGAACGCGCUCGACGGUGAGGGACGAAAGCUGGGGGAGCGAACUGGAUUAGAUACCCGGGUAGUCCCAGCUGUAAACGAUGCGGGCUAGGUGUUGGGAUGGCUACGGGCCAUUUCAGUGCCGCAGGGAAGCCAUUAAGCCCGCCGCCUGGGGAGUACGGCCGCAAGGCUGAAACUUAAAGGAAUUGGCGGGGGAGCACCACAAGGCGUGAAGCUUGCGGUUC
rnacentral:rRNA from 1 species